GACGAACGCUGGCGGCGUGCUUAACACAUGCAAGUCGAACGGAAAGGCCCUGCUUUUGUGGGGUUCUCGAGUGGCGAACGGGUGAGUAACACGUGAGUAACCUGCCCUUGACUUUGGGAUAACUUCAGGAAACUGGGGCUAAUACCGGAUCGGAGCUCCUGCUGCAUGGUGGGGGUUGGAAAGUUUCGGCGGUUGGGGAUGGACUCGCGGCUUAUCAGCUUGUUGGUGGGGUAGUGGCUUACCAAGGCUUUGACGGGUAGCCGGCCUGAGAGGGUGACCGGCCACAUUGGGACUGAGAUACGGCCCAGACUCCUACGGGAGGCAGCAGUGGGGAAUAUUGCACAAUGGGCGGAAGCCUGAUGCAGCAACGCCGCGUGCGGGAUGACGGCCUUCGGGUUGUAAACCGCUUUCGCCUGUGACGAAGCGUGAGUGACGGUAAUGGGUAAAGAAGCACCGGCUAACUACGUG
rnacentral:rRNA from 1 species